UACGUAGGCAGCAAGCGUUGUUCGGAGUUACUGGGCGUAAAGGGUGUGUAGGCGGUUUUCUAAGUCUGGUGUGAAAUCUCCCGGCUCAACUGGGAGGGUGCGCCGAAAACUGGAAGGCUAGAGUGCGGGAUGGGAGAGUGGAAUUCCUGGUGUAGCGGUGAAACGCGUAGAUAUCAGGAGGAACACCUGUGGUGUAGACGGCUCUCUGGACCGCAACUGACGCUGAGACACGAAAGCGUGGGUAGCAAACAGG
rnacentral:rRNA from 1 species